GUGGCGAUGAAGAUACUGGUGCCCACUGCGGUGAAGGCCAUCGGCGCACGAUCUGGCGCCGCGAAUCGGAGGACAGGCUCGGGGAGGGCAUCCUCCUCCAUGUUGUCGGUGUCGAGCUUGUGGAUGCUGAACCCUAGGUACCCGCCCUGCUUCCUCUCAUCCAGCGCCAGAUACAGGUGCUUCUUCCUCUUGGCGCAGUACGGGCAUUGCUCCUCGCUCCGACGUGGACGCUUCAUUGAUUGCUGCUAGCUACUCGAUCGCCGGCUCGCCAGACACCUGGCUCCAAGGUCUCGUCUUGUCUUGUCCUCGAUCUCGUCUGC
rnacentral:lncRNA from 1 species